rnacentral:rRNA from 1 species
GACGAACGCUGGCGGCGUGCCUAAUACAUGCAAGUAGAACGCACAGUUUAUACCGUAGCUUGCUACACCAUAGACUGUGAGUUGCGAACGGGUGAGUAACGCGUAGGUAACCUGCCUGGUAGCGGGGGAUAACUAUUGGAAACGAUAGCUAAUACCGCAUAAUAUUAAUUAUUGCAUGAUAAUUAAUUGAAAGGUGCAAUUGCACCACUACCAGAUGGACCUGCGUUGUAUUAGCUAGUAGGUGAGGUAACGGCUCACCUAGGCGACGAUACAUAGCCGACCUGAGAGGGUGAUCGGCCACACUGGGACUGAGACACGGCCCAGACUCCUACGGGAGGCAGCAGUAGGGAAUCUUCGGCAAUGGACGAAAGUCUGACCGAGCAACGCCGCGUGAGUGAAGAAGGGUUUCGGAUCGUAAAGCUCUGUUGUAAGAGAAGAACGGGUGUGAGAGUGGAAAGUUCACACUGUGACGGUAGCUUACCAGAAAGAGACGGCUAACUACGUG